rnacentral:rRNA from 1 species
CCUACGGGAGGCUGCAGUGAGGAAUAUUGGUCAAUGGUCGGGAGACUGAACCAGCCAAGCCGCGUGAGGGAGGAAGGUACAGAGUAUCGUAAACCUCUUUUGUCAGGGAACAAAGGCGGGGACGUGUCCCCGGAUGAGUGUACCUGAAGAAAAAGCAUCGGCUAACUCCGUGCCAGCAGCCGCGGUAAUACGGAGGAUGCGAGCGUUAUCCGGAUUUAUUGGGUUUAAAGGGUGCGCAGGCGGUCUGUUAAGUCAGCGGUCAAAGCCCGGGGCUCAACCCCGGCCCGCCGUUGAAACUGGCAGUCUAGAGUUGGAGAGAAGUAUGCGGAAUGCGCGGUGUAGCGGUGAAAUGCAUAGAUAUCGCGCAGAACUCCGAUUGCGAAGGCAGCAUGCCGGCUCCACACUGACGCUGAGGCACGAAAGCGUGGGUAUCGAACAGGAUUAGAUACCCUGGUAGUC